rnacentral:lncRNA from 1 species
GGAAAGAGGAAAUGCCGUCCUUUGACAAGAUGUGGGAAACCACCUCGAUUUGUGCUCCGUGUGGCUGUGACCAGAAAACAAAGAACCCUCGCCGGAUCCGGGGGCCAAGUUUCAAGUAAACUUUUCCGGACGCACCAAGCAAGUGUGUUUUUGUGUGUAUUUUCUGGCCAGCCAGGCUCUUCAUCUGCAGGAAGCUGUAAUAAGGCCUAUCUUGAGGGGAUCAAGAGAACUGAGGAUCCAGCUGAACCCCGGGGGCUCAGAGAAGUAGGAAUCAUGUCCUUCCAAGCCACCUAAGGGUGAAGUGAAUGGUCAGAAAGAUGCUGGACGCAGACAGAGGGUGCGUCCUCGAGUCAGUGCACCGCACAUUCCAGCAGCUUCCUCUCUGAAGUUGAAAGCCAUUCCUCUGAAACACGUCGGAGUCCAGCCGGAAGUGCACAGCUCUGUCCCUAAAGCCACCCACCCACCAGAUUGAUGGGACUGCCUUUUCCGGAAGGGUGAAUCGGGGGCUCUCCGGGGACCAAACGGUAGCAGGAGAAACCACUGCCAGCGUUGGGAUCGGCCUCCAAAAUGACAUCCAGGAACCUUCCCCAAUCCAGUUUCCUUUCAGCGAAAGACGGGUCGCUUCUACUGAGCCUGCUGUGGUCCAGCCUUGUGGUCAGCCCUGAGCAACGGAGCCUCAGGAGUCUUGGUCUGAGAACACAGAGAAGUCGAGAGGGGAAGGAAACCUGAAGAUUCUGCAA